CCCUUAGAUGUUCUGGGUUGCACACGUGCUACACUGGCAGGUUCAGCGAGCUUCAUGCCCUGAUCUGAAAGGAAUGGGAAAUCUUUUCAAAACCUGCCGUGCUUGGGAUAGAUGUUUGCAAUUAUUCAUCUUCAACGAGGAUUGCCUUGUAAGCGCACGUCAUCAGCGUGCAUUGAAUACGACCCUGUAUUCUGUACACACCGCCCGUCGCUCCUACCGAUUGAAGUUUUCGGUGAGUUGACAGGAGGAUUUUUUUGAAACUGGUUCGCCAGUGGAUUUUAGAUCCAAAUGCCAACGAAUCGAUGGCUUUAGAGGAAGGAGAAGUCGUAACA
rnacentral:rRNA from 1 species